AGUGAACGCUGGCGGUAGGCCUAACACAUGCAAGUCGAACGGCAGCACAGUAAGAGCUUGCUCUUACGGGUGGCGAGUGGCGGACGGGUGAGGAAUACAUCGGAAUCUACUUUUUCGUGGGGGAUAACGUAGGGAAACUUACGCUAAUACCGCAUACGACCUACGGGUGAAAGCAGGUGAUCUUCGGACCUUGCGCGAUUGAAUGAGCCGAUGUCGGAUUAGCUAGUUGGCGGGGUAAAGGCCCACCAAGGCGACGAUCCGUAGCUGGUCUGAGAGGAUGAUCAGCCACACUGGAACUGAGACACGGUCCAGAAUCCUACGGGAGGCAGCAGUGGGGAAUAUUGGACAAUGGGCGCAAGCCUGAUCCAGCCAUACCGCGUGGGUGAAGAAGGCCUUCGGGUUGUAAAGCACUUUUGUUGGGAAAGAAAAGCAGCAGGUUAAUACCCCGCUGUUCUGACGGUACCCAAAGAAUAAGCACCGGCUAACUUCGUG
rnacentral:rRNA from 1 species